GGUUCAGUCAUAGCUCAGAUUGAACGCUGGCGGGAUGCUUUACAUGCAGGUCAGGCAGCGCUGGACUUCGGUCUGGUGGCAGUAGCGAACGGGUGAGUAAUGUAUCGGAACGUGCAAGUAGCGGGGGAUAUACGCGAAAGCGUAGCUAAUACCACCGCCCUUCGAGAAAGCGGGGGACCUUCGGGCCUCGCACUAACGACGGCCGAUAUCGGAUUAGCUAGUUGGUGGGGUAACGGCUCACCAAGGCGACGAUCCGUAGCUGGUUUUGAGAAAGGACGACCAGCCACACCUGGGACUGAGGGACACGGCCCAGACUCCUACAGGAGGCAGCGUUAAGAAUUUUGGACAAUGGGGAAAACCCUGAUUAGCCAUCCCGCGUGUGCGAUGAAGGCCUUCGGGUUGUAAAGCACUUUUGGCAGGAAAAACGGCACGGGAUAAUACCCCGUGCAACUGACAAUUUCUACGAGCAGCACCGGCUAACCCAUUCGCAGCCGCGGUAAUACGUAGGGUGCAAGCGUUAAUCGGAAUUACUGGGCGUAAAGCGUGCGCGAGCGGUUCGGAAGAAGAUGGCAAAUCCCGGAAGCUUGCUUUGGAACUGCAUUUUUAACUACCGAGCUAGAGUGUGUCAGAGGGAGGUGGAAUUCCGCGAUGUCAGCAGUGAAAUGCGUAGAUAUGCGGAGGAACACCGAUGGCGAAGGCAACCUCACGGAUACUGCUGACGCUCUUUUUGAAAGCGUGGGAGCAAACAGGAUUAGAUACCCUGGUAGUCCACUUCCCUAAACGAUGUCAACUAGCUGUUGGGGCCUUCGGGCCUUGGUAGCGCAGCUAACGCGUGAGAAGUUGACCGCCUGGGGAAAUACGGUCGCAAGAUUAAAACUCAAGGAAUGACGGGGACCCACCCUGGCGGUGGAUGAUGUGGAUUGGUAAUUCGAUGCAACGCGAAAAACCUUACCUACCCUUGACAUGUCUGGAAUCCCGAAGAGAUUUGGGAGUGCUCGCAAGAAGGGAACCGGAACACAGGUGCUGCAUGGCUGUCGUCAGCUCGUGUCGUGAGAUGUUGGGUUAAGUCCCGCAACGAGCGCAACCCUUGUCGUGAUUGCUACGAAAGGGCACUCUAAUGAGACUGCCGGUGACAAACCGGAGGAAGGUGGGGAUGACGUCAAGUCCUCAUGGCCCUUAUGGGUAGGGCUUCACGUCAUACAAUGGUCGGGACAGAGGGUCGCCAACCGCGAGGGGGAGCCAAUCCCAGAAACCCGAUCGUAGUCCGGAUCGCAGUCUGCAACUCGACUGCGUGAGUCGGAAUCGCUAGUAAUCGCGAAUCAGCAUGUCGCAGUGAAUACGUUCCAGAUGCUUGUACACACCGCCCGUCACACCAUGGGGGUGGGUUUUACCAAGUGGUCUUUAACCGUAGGAGGGCGAUUACCACGGUAGGAUUCAUGACUGGGGUGAAGUCGUAAUAAGGUAA
rnacentral:rRNA from 1 species